rnacentral:rRNA from 1 species
CUUUACUGUAGCUUGAGAUUGGGUUUGGGCUUUUCUUGCGCAGCAUAGGUGGGAGGCUUUGAAGACAUUCUUGCGGGAGUGUCUGAGCCACCAGUGAGAUACCACUCUAGGUAAGCUAAAAUUCUAACUUGUCACCGUUAUCCGGUGAAAGGACAUUUUCAGGUGGGCAGUUUGACUGGGGCGGUCGCCUCCUAAAAGGUAACGGAGGCGUGCAAAGGUUCCCUCAGACUGGUCGGAAAUCAGUUGUAGAGUGCAAAGGCAUAAGGGAGCUUGACUGCAAGACCUACAAGUCGAGCAGAGACGAAAGUCGGCCUUAGUGAUCCGACGGUUCCGAGUGGAAGGGCCGUCGCUCAACGGAUAAAAGUUA